rnacentral:rRNA from 1 species
GUGAGGAAUUUUCCGCAAUGGGCGAAAGCCUGACGGAGCAAUGCCGCGUGAAGGAUGAAGGCCUAUGGGUUGUAAACUUCUUUUCUCAGAAAAGAAUUAUGACGGUAUCUGAGGAAUAAGCAUCGGCUAACUCUGUGCCAGCAGCCGCGGUAAGACAGCGGAUGCAAGCGUUAUCCGGAAUGAUUGGGCGUAAAGCGUCUGUAGGUUGUUUAAAAAGUAUUCUGUCAAAGAUUAGGGCUUAACCCUAGAUAGGCAGAAUAAACUUUUAAGCUAGAGUUUGGUAGAGGCAGAGGGAAUUCCCGGUGGAGCGGUGAAAUGCGUAGAUAUCGGGAGGAACACCAAAGGCGAAGGCACUCUGCUGGGCCAAUACUAACACUGAGAGACGAAAGCGAGGGGAGCAAAUGGGAUUAGAUACCCCGGUAGUCC